rnacentral:rRNA from 1 species
GACGAACGCUGGCGGCGUGCUUAACACAUGCAAGUCGAACGGAAAGGCCCUGCUUUUGUGGGGUGCUCGAGUGGCGAACGGGUGAGUAACACGUGAGUAACCUGCCCUUGACUUUGGGAUAACUUCAGGAAACUGGGGCUAAUACCGGAUAGGAGCUCCUGCUGCAUGGUGGGGGUUGGAAAGUUUCGGCGGUUGGGGAUGGACUCGCGGCUUAUCAGCUUGUUGGUGGGGUAGUGGCUUACCAAGGCUUUGACGGGUAGCCGGCCUGAGAGGGUGACCGGCCACCUUGGGACUGAGAUACGGCCCAGACUCCUACGGGAGGCAGCAGUGGGGAAUAUUGCCCAAUGGGCGGAAGCCUGAUGCAGCAACGCCGCGUGCGGGAUGACGGCCUUCGGGUUGUAAACCGCUUUCGCCUGUGACGAAGCGUGAGUGACGGUAAUGGGUAAAGAAGCACCGGCUAACUACGUG